GAAUUCCUGGGGUUGAUCUCCAGCUCUUCCGAAACAAGUUGUGAGAGAGCAUGCAAGUAAUCCCAGCACUUGAGCAGGUGGAAUAAAUGUUCAAGAUCAUCCUCAGGUACACAGUGAAGGAAACCCAGGAUAACCCUAUGCUGAGGAUGGUAGAGGCACGAGAAGAUUCCAAGGUUUUCAUGGCAUCAACAAAAUGCCAAAGCAACCAACUUAAACCUCUGAUCUUCAUGUUGUCUGAGGUAAUAUAAUUCUGAGGAAACAGAUAAGGAUGAAGCAAAAACAUAAUGAAGAGAAAGCUGGAAGGGGGCAGGUGGUGUACUGGGAAAUAGUACAAGGACUCUGGACAUUUGCAAGGAUGUAGCUGCUAAGAUCCAAGUGCCAAGGAAGAACUGAUGACUGCAUAAGGAAAGCCAUCUGUAUCCAAGCCAGUGCAGACACACAAGACAGAGUGGGCUGGAAGAGACCCUGAAUCCUCUCAGCUGUAGCACAUACCCCAUCGCACUAGCAGCUAUGACUAUCUAUCUUUCAAUGAUGCUUAGAGCCAUGCUGCUUACUUUAUUCUUUCCAAAGACAGUGUUCAAUUGGGUCAGGUUGGUGAUGUAAGGUGCAGCGCCACUGCACAGGCAGCAGAGAUCUUGCAACCAGCACCAUUGACUAUGGUGAGGCUUGUCCGAUUCCAGAAUAGGGAAUGGUUACCAAGGCUCCAGAUUUAUGAAUGUUCCCUUUGCUUUGCUAUUAAAUUCCUGAUGCAACUCUAGUUGUUUUCUUUUAAAACCGCA